rnacentral:rRNA from 1 species
AGAGUUUGAUCAUGGCUCAGAAUCAACGCUGGCGGCGUGCCUAACACAUGCAAGUCGAGCGAGAAAGGGAACUUCGGUUCCUGAGUACAGCGGCGCACGGGUGAGUACAACGUGGGUAACCUGCCUCGGAGUGGGGAAUAACACCGGGAAACCGGUGCUAAUACCGCAUACGACCACAGCUUCUUCGGAAAUUGUGAUGAAAGACAAUGUCGCUCUGAGAGGGGCCCACGCCCGAUUAGCUAGUUGGUGAGGUAAUGGCUCACCAAGGCAACGAUCGGUAGCCGGUCUGAGAGGACGGUCGGCCACACUGGAACUGAGACACGGUCCAGACUCCUACGGGAGGCAGCAGUGGGGAAUUUUUGACAAUGGGGGAAACCCUGAUCAAGCAACGCCGCGUGGAUGAUGAAGUAUCUCGGUACGUAAAAUCCUUUCGACAGGGAAGAAGCUCUUCGGAGUUGACGGUACCUGUAGAAGAAGCCCCGGCUAACUCCGUGCCAGCAGCCGCGGUAAUACGGGGGGGGCAAGCGUUGUUCGGAUUUACUGGGCGUAAAGGGCGCGUAGGCGGUUCGUUAAGUCGGAUGUGAAAACUCUGGGCUCAACCCAGAGCCUGCAUCCGAUACUGGCGGACUAGAGUGCGAGAGGGGAAAGCGGAAUUCCUGGUGUAGCGGUGAAAUGCGUAGAUAUCAGGAGGAACACCGGCGGCGAAGGCGGCUUUCUGGAUCGCAACUGACGCUGANGCGCGAAAGCUAGGGGAGCAAACAGGAUUAGAUACUCUGGUAGUCCUAGCCCUAAACGAUG